rnacentral:rRNA from 1 species
GACGAACGCUGGCGGCGUGCUUAACACAUGCAAGUCGAGCGGAAAGGCCCUUCGGGGUACUCGAGCGGCGAACGGGUGAGUAACACGUGAGUAACCUUCCCUAGGCUUUGGGAUAACCCCGGGAAACCGGGGCUAAUACCGGAUAUGACCUGGUGCCGCAUGGUGUUGGGUGGAAAGUUUUUUCGUCCUGGGAUGGGCUCGCGGCCUAUCAGCUUGUUGGUGGGGUGAUGGCCUACCAAGGCGAUGACGGGUAGCCGGCCUGAGAGGGCGACCGGCCACACUGGGACUGAGACACGGCCCAGACUCCUCCGGGAGGCAGCAGUGGGGAAUAUUGCACAAUGGGCGGAAGCCUGAUGCAGCGACGCCGUGUGAGGGAUGAAGGCCUUCGGUUUGUAAACCUCUUUCAGCAGGGACGAAGCGUGAGUGACGGUACCUGCAGAAGGAGCGCCGGCCAACUACGUG